rnacentral:misc_RNA from 1 species
GAUGAAGAACGCAGCGAAAUGCGAUAAGUAAUGUGAAUUGCAGAAUUCAGUGAAUCAUCGAAUCUUUGAACGCACAUUGCGCCCGCCAGUAUUCUGGCGGGCAUGCCUGUUCGAGCGUCAUUACAACCCUCAGGCCCCCGGGCCUGGCGUUGGGGAUCGGCGGAAGCCCCCUGCGGGCACAACGCCGUCCCCCAAAUACAGUGGCGGUCCCGCCGCAGCUUCCAUUGCGUAGUAGCUAACACCUCGCAACUGGAGAGCGGCGCGGCCACGCCGUAAAACACCCAACUUCUGAAUGUUGACCUCGAAUCAGGUAGGAAUACCCGCUGAACUUAAGCUUAUCAAUAAGCGGAGGA